CCUACGGGAGGCAGCAGUGGGGAAUUUUGGACAAUGGGGGCAACCCUGAUCCAGCAAUGCCGCGUGAGUGAAGAAGGCCUUCGGGUUGUAAAGCUCUUUUGUCAGGGAAGAAACAGCAGCUCUAACACAGUCUGCGAAUGACGGUACCUGAAGAAUAAGCACCGGCUAACUACGUGCCAGCAGCCGCGGUAAUACGUAGGGUGCGAGCGUUAAUCGGAAUUACUGGGCGUAAAGCGUGCGCAGGCGGUUAUACAAGACAGGCGUGAAAUCCCCGGGCUUAACCUGGGAAUGGCGUCUGUGACUGUAUAGCUAGAGUGUGUCAGAGGGGGGUGGAAUUCCACGUGUAGCAGUGAAAUGCGUAGAUAUGUGGAGGAACACCAAUGGCGAAGGCAGCCCCCUGGGAUAACACUGACGCUCAUGCACGAAAGCGUGGGGAGCAAACAGGAUUAGAUACCCUGGUAGUCCACGCCCUAAACGAUGCUGACUAGUUGUUGGGAAUUUACAUUCUCAGUAACGUAGCUAACGCGUGAAGUCAGCCGCCUGGGGAGUACGGUCGCAAGAUUAAAACUCAAAUGAAUUGACGG
rnacentral:rRNA from 1 species